rnacentral:misc_RNA from 1 species
UCCGGCUUAUCACCGGCAGUUUCUUCAGAGUUCUCAGCAUUACCUGUUAGCAACAGAAGACGAGGGUUGCGCUCGUUGCGGGACUUAACCCAACAUCUCACGACACGAGCUGACGACAGCCAUGCAGCACCUGUGUGGUAGCCAGCCGAACUGAAGGAAAGUAUCUCUACGAUCCAAACUACCCAUGUCAAGGCCUGGUAAGGUUCUUCGCGUUGCCUCGAAUUAAACCACAUGCUCCACCGCUUGUGCGGGUCCCCGUCAAUUCCUUUGAGUUUUAAUCUUGCGACCGUACUCCCCAGGCGGAGUGCUUAAUGCGUUAGCUGCGCCACUGAGAUCGAAGACCCCAACAGCUAGCACUCAUCGUUUACAGCGUGGACUAC